rnacentral:lncRNA from 1 species
GAUUGUUUUAUGGAGAUAAGUAUUGGACAAGCUAUACUUUCCACAUGGGCAUUCAACAGAUUACGAGGCUACUAGUGAUACUGGGAAAACUUCGUAUGACAUUGAUCUGCCGCCUUAGUAGAUUCCUUACACACUCAUCUCCGAGCCUCGAGGACGAUGCUAUAUCUUAAGCUUGGGGAGGUUGAGAUUAGAGGUAAUUUUUAUGUUUUCAUCUUAGCAUGCAUCACUUAGUUUGUAAAUAGUUGCAUAUAGUUGCAUUUUUCAUGUUCAUUGCAUUUAGGUUGCAUAUAGAUGCAUUAAAAAAAACCCGUUUCUGUUCCGCUGAAAAUGAUUUGUGAAAAAAUGAGAUAUGAUAUGAUUUCUGGCAUGUCAAAGCUUAUGCGCGAAAUGGUAACUUUGGGGAAGAAAACAUAGAUAAUUCGGGAUAUGUUGAUAGGCUCGGCCCUAGCUUAGGAACGCCAAUGUUGGAUGCAAUAACCUUAAUUAUAUAUAUGUGUUUAGUUUCCCAUCUUAAUGCUUGUGGUUAAAGGGAGAAAAGUCCCGACCCCUUGAAAAACGGAAAAAGAUAAUAACUAUUGUGUCAUGGUUUGGGUGCAUGGUCGCAUCAAGUGUGGUUUUGGAAAUCUUCAAAAAGUCGUGAGGUUGGGUAGAUGUUGCCAUAGGUGUUGGGCGUGGGGACGAUUGAACCAUGUUGGUAAAUUUGUAUAUUAUUAAGCAGAAAGCAUUUGGUUGUGAUUAAGCGGGUUUGAGUUUAAAGGGACACAGAAUAUCAACAAUCGCGGUUACACGUGUUAGUAUGACCCGGGUUUGAAUGAAUGUAAUAAGAGUUGACAAUGUUGGAUGUGAUCUCAUUACAAGUUUGUUUUCCGGAAUAAAAGAAGCAGGUUGAAAAAAAAAUAUUUUUAUAAAGCAUGCAUAUGUGUAUUAUUUUUUUUCGUGUUUAUUUCUUGGUUUAUUCUUGUUCUUGACUUCCUUGAGGACAAGGAAAGGUUUAAGCUUGGGGAGAUUUGUUAGUUGCAUUUUUUGGCACGUUUUAUAGCAUAUUAACAUUAAAAAUUCACCACAUAUCAUGCAUAUUUCAUAGUCAUACCUCGUUAUUUUGCGAAACGCUUGUUUUUGUGGAAUGGAAUCUACGUUGGUUGUUUUUGGUUGAUAUUGAAGGUGAGGAGCGAUUGCGAAGGACGAAAGCAUUGGAAAGAAUUGGAGUACGUCGAAAUACCAAUUCAUAAGCUAGUGAACAAAGUGAGCUGGAUGUGUGACUAAGCUAAAUUGUGACAUCACAAGAAGUGAAGUUGGGCCAAAAUACUAAUUGUCAUGGGAUCAUCUUUUUUUUUUGGAGUGUAUUUGUUGGGCUAAAAAAUACGGGCUGUCAACAAGCACAAGAAAAAAAAAUAGAAGCAGCCAAACAAGUGAUAGAUUUUGGGGGUGAGCCAAUUAAAAGUAGAAUGAUCAUCAACCAAAUUA